rnacentral:lncRNA from 1 species
GUACAUCACAGACAAUCUCUGACUUCUUCAUCAGGUAAGGAUCCUAACUCCUACACGUACACUUUUACUACCGACCUAUGCAAAUCGCAAUGCUUGAUGACAUGGGGAAUUUUUUGCUAUUUAAUUAUCAGCGUUUGCUGAAUUUUUUUUUCUGAACCACAAAAUGUUUUUUACAGGGAGCUAUUUAGAGGAAUGACUGUAAUAGCUACUUUCGUGAACCAGAGGUGGAAACUCCAAGAAAGUCAUACUUGAGUCAUGAAACCAUAGCUCGAAAUGUUCAAAUGUUAAGUUGAACUAAUCGGUCAGUAUUCACUAUUUAUCUAUACUUUACAAGGUAACUUGCCUAUUGAGUCAAGCAAUAUAUUGCCACAGCAGUCAUUCUUGUUUUUUUUUUUUUUUUAAACCACAAAAUCAUACUGAUAGUUUUUUC